rnacentral:sRNA from 1 species
GCUGGGCAUGGUGGUGCAUGCCUGCAAUCCCAGGGACUUGGGAGGCUGAGGCAGGAGGAUCAAGAGUUCAAAGCCAGCCUCAG